rnacentral:rRNA from 1 species
GGUCAAGCGGAUAAGUGCACACGUGUGGAUGCCUAGGCACAGACCGGCGAAGAAGGACGUGGCAAGCUGCGAAAAGCUUCGGGGAGCUGCAAGCGAGCGUAGAUCCGGAGAUGUCCGAAUGGGGAAACCCGGCUGGGGAGACUCAGUCACUCCUUAAUUGGAGAGCCAACCCGGGGAACUGAAACAUCUAAGUACCCGGAGGAAGAGAAAUCAAACGAGAUUCCCGGAGUAGCGGCGAGCGAAAGGGGAAGAGCCCAAACCGUGGGGGUGAGAGCUUCCAUGGGGUUGCGGGACCUGACAGGAUCGAGUGGAAAGGCUAGCGGAACGCGCCUGGAAUGGCGGACCGAAGGGGGUGAGAGUCCCGUAUGCGAAAGCCGAGUACGCGAGAGGUCGGGCACCCGAGUAGGGCGGGACACGAGAAAUCCCGUCUGAAUCUGGGGGGACCAUCCUC